rnacentral:rRNA from 1 species
AACGAACGCUGGCGGCAGGCUUAACACAUGCAAGUCGAACGGGUGUAGCAAUACAUCAGUGGCAGACGGGUGAGUAACACGUGGGAACCUUCCUAGGGGUACGGAACAACUCAGGGAAACUUGAGCUAAUACCGUAUACGUCCGUGAGGAGAAAGAUUUAUCGCCCUUAGACGGGCCCGCGUCGGAUUAGGUAGUUGGUGGGGUACCGGCCUACCAAGCCUACGAUCCGUAGCUGAUCUUAGAGGAUGAUCAGCCACACUGGGACUGAGACACGGCCCAGACUCCUACGGGAGGCAGCAGUGGGGAAUCUUGGACAAUGGGCGCAAGCCUGAUCCAGCCAUGCCGCGUGAGUGAAGAAGGCCUUAGGGUUGUAAAGCUCUUUUACCAGGGACGAUAAUGACGGUACCUGGAGAAUAAGCCCCGGCAAANUUNGUGCCAGCAGCCGCCGUAA